AUAGCAUUAUCUUUAACAUUUACUACCAGAUUUGAGCUCUUUCACAUGGAAACCAUCUAUAUUGGAAACACUUAGUCAUGGUCUGUAAGCAGUGAUGGAGCACCUGGUAGGAAGGCAGGGCCAACCCAAGGGAGCUCAGCUGCAUGCAAUGUACCUGAGUGACCAGAAGGUGUGGAGCCAGGAUCCACCCCUCCCCAGCUCUCAUUUAAGAGUUGUUGGUGGUAGUAAGAGUAAUUUGUUGGAGAUCAUUGCAUUCCAGAGGUCUUCUGAAGGUGUCUCUAAGGUCUGUAGAGAUUUGGCAAAAUUCCCAUGAAUGAGAACUUUUGCCCACAACUCUGUCCCAGAAUCUCUGCCUUGCAAAUAAUAGAGCUGGAGGCUUGUGGUCAAAUGACCUCAGCAUCAUUGCGAAAGCUGUUCACUUGCAUUAUUCUCACAACACGUGGUUCCAUAAGAAACACCACGCUAUGUCUAGCUACUUUUCAUUAACUCUUUCCUGAGAGGCAAAACACUGAAAGAAAUGCUGCUAUUUCAUCCUCUGUCUGUGGGUUACUCCAGGCUUUUGCCCAUGUCUCACACCCUCCAGAGAGGGGUUUCUCUGCCCCAGUUGAGCUACAGGUUCAGAAAGCAGAGCACAGCUGUGUCUUUGGUCAGAGUUGUGCAAGGAAACUAUGCUGCUUUUUCAGUUGCAUUAAAGUAAUUAUUCCUCCAGUAUGGUGCUGUGCACAAGUAGAACCCAGCACCAACUUCAUGUCACGCUUUAGCUACUUUGCCUUCCCUAAAUGUAUAUGUAUGUGUUACAGCUGUGCAAAGGGAGUGACGAUGCUUAAGAUGCAACAAGUUUUUCUAAAACAAAUGCAUAGAAAAGAAAGAAAGAUCUCUUAAGUUUCUCCAUUGAGCUCACGUGUGCUUCCAUUGAAGAGGCUGAGACAGAGGAGAAGUGGUCCUCUCUUCCCUGAGCUGCUGGGAGGAAGCUGCCCGGCUCAAGUUUGUCACCACUGCAGCUCUGGACACUGGAGCGAGUAGCUUGUAAAAUUGCAUUCCUGCAUGUUUGUGAAGCACUUAGCACAGUGAAGGUCUGACUGAAUUUCUAGAGAACUGAUAUAAGUAUUGCUAGUAACGAGAGCAAGACAUUUCUACUGACCAUUGCCAUUUCAAAGCAUGUGGGAAAUAAGCAUGAAAUUCUUUAUGAGCUCUGUGCUGCAUUGGAAAAAGGACAAGGGCCACAGGACAAGGCAGGCACCCCCCUGGCAUCUGCCUGGGGAAUGGCACAAUGAAGCUCCCUGCUGCCAUGCAGGGGGUUCUGAAUUGCAAUAUAGGUGUAUCCCAAGGGAUGACAGCAGCUCCUGACUGGGGACUCUCAGCAGCAAGAAAGUAGAGCCAUUAAAGAAUGGAGAUACACAGCAACCAACAUCCAUUUGUUGCUCUGAGCAUCCAUCCCAAAUUGGAGGUAGUUGUAUUUCACAGAGUCCUCAUCUGUACAUAGUACAGCUCAUUGCUCACCUUCUGGAUAAGGUCCAGGUGUUGCAGAGGAUCUGGCUGUGCCCUUUGGGGAGUUGGGUGCUGAGCAGAAGGGGCCCUGGGGAGCACUGUGAGCUCUGUGAGCUGCAGGUGCAGCUGUGCUCUGCUCCCAGGCUGGGUGCUUGCUGGCUGCCAAACUGCGUGCAGUGAUUAUGCAGUGUGGACAUCUCGUCAGCUGCUGAGAUGGGGCUGUCUGACUCAUUUCCACUUGGAAUCUUGAUGACAAUUUGGUUUGAAUUAGUUGUGGGCUAAAGCCAAAACCCUGGAUCUGAACUUCCUCAGAUUUUGGGAAGACUCCAUUCUGGAUCUGAGCUUAACACAUGGCUCUUGCUUAUACAAUGAUCAGAGCCAAACUCUGGAUUAGGGCAUUCCCAGAAUAUGGGGAAGUUCAGAGCUCAUCUUUGAUGCUGAGGUCAUCUCAAGCACAGGUUUCUGGAGAUGAAAUACUACCCAUAUGCUAGCUUGCUCUUUCUUUUCUUGUAAAACUGACAUUUAACAAGUGCAUUCUUAGAUCUGCAACUGCAUCUUCUCAGUACUGGCAAGUAAAAAAGGUGUGUGUGAGUCUGUCUACGUUUCAGUUGGAAAAGCAGACUCUUAGGAACUUCCAUAUUGUAUGCACAAGAAGCUUUUUGGCUUUUGUGCACAAUUGUAUUAUUCCGGAAGCUCUGGACACACAGCUCUUGCUGAAGACACCGGGCUACCCCUGCAUGGCUCUUUCUUGAAACAGAAGGACUGAAGAGUAAAUAAAUUCCAUUUGCAAGCUGCUCCAGUGACACAGUGCUAACAAACCAUCCCCAAAAGAUGAGAUCUUGCGAUGUGCUACUGCAGUGUGCCCACAGGGACCUACUUCUGAGGCCCUCUGCUUCUCAAGCAUGGGCAGUCAAGCUGGAGAAAUCCCUGAGAAAUCCCUGUCUGGGAAAAGCUGAGCUGCCUGCUACUGUGCUGAGAAAACCCAGCUCCAACAGAAGGCUCUGUCAACACAGCACCGUAUCGUUCGCUCGAGGUGUACACACUUCACUUGACACCUCUGCCUUGUCCUACAGAUGUUCCACUGUGUUUCGGAUGGAGCCUCUAACAGUACAGCUGUUUGAACACAUGUGCAUUUUCCACUCAACAAACCGCAAGAAUAUGGCAGCAGGGUUACAACGUCUGAUUCCUAGGGCGAGAAUGAGAGAAGCUGAAGAGGUGUUUCUUUGGGAAAUCUCCGUAUUUUCUUCUGUAGUUUCUCUCUUUCCUGUUUUGUUCACCGACUGUGCUACACUCAGACCAUGGGGAAGGUAAAGCCUGAUUGAUAUUGCAAGUGACAACUGUGGCCUCGAAACCAUUUCCUCAGUUCAUCUUCAGGAGGCGUUAAGCCCACAGCGUUUUGCCUGUUCCACAGGAGUAGAGUCCUUCUGACUUUUAUUCACAAAAAUCCACUUUAUUCCAGUUCCUGCUAAUCUGCUGUUACUUGUGAAUAAAUUAGAGCCUGCCCCAACAAAGAGCUUUAAAGAGGAAUUAUCUGAUAUGCUCAGAAGGAGUUUACAACAGACUUUCUGAUUUUGCCGCUGUAGGAUAUGAGAAGAGGUGGUGAGCUCUUGCCAAGAAUUUCACAAACCUGAAUUCCCUUUCUGCUCCCAAUAAGGUACAGAGGCUGGGGAGAUUGGGAAGAAUGCAUUAAUAAAAUAGUGAGCCCAACAAUGAAUAUCUUGUGAAAUACACAGCCACUUCUACCGUUCUUCUCUCAUGGCCAUGGACAUCUAAUCCAGAUACCUUGCCUCCCAGUUAACACCAGCUGGGGUAAGAUACGUUGCCUAUCCUUUCCAUCCUGUCAACAUCUGGUUUUUGAAAAGCAGAUGUGCGCAAAUUGAUCUGACUAAUGUGUUUGAUUCUGUCACUGACUGCAGGAGAAAACAGCAAAACACUGCCAUCAAAUCAGUGUCAAAUUUGGACUUGGUGACCUUAGUGUUGAUCUUUUUAUAAGAAGGAAUUAUUAAGGUGAGAAGGACUUUUUCAUGUUCCUUAAU